UACAGAGGGUGCAAGCGUUGUUCGGAAUUAUUGGGCGUAAAGGGCGCGUAGGCGGUGCGGUAAGUCACCUGUGAAACCUCUGGGCUUAACUCAGAGCCUGCAGGCGAAACUGCCGUGCUUGAGUGUGGGAGAGGUGCGUGGAAUUCCCGGUGUAGCGGUGAAAUGCGCAGAUAUCGGGAGGAACACCUGUGGCGAAAGCGGCGCACUGGACCACAACUGACGCUGAGGCGCGAAAGCUAGGGGAGCAAACAGG
rnacentral:rRNA from 1 species